UCAGUCGACUCCUACGGGGAGGCAGCAGUGGGGAAUAUUGCACAAUGGGGGAAACCCUGAUGCAGCCAUGCCGCGUGUGUGAAGAAGGCCUUCGGGUUGUAAAGCACUUUCAGUAGGGAGGAAGGUAGUGUAGUUAAUACCUGCAUUAUUUGACGUUACCUACAGAAGAAGCACCGGCUAACUCCGUGCCAGCAGCCGCGGUAAUACGGAGGGAGCGAGCGUUAAUCGGAAUUACUGGGCGUAAAGCGCAUGCAGGCGGCCUGUUAAGUCAGAUGUGAAAGCCCGGGGCUUAACCUCGGAAUUGCAUUUGAAACUGGCAGGCUAGAGUCUUGUAGAGGGGGGUAGGAAUUUCAGGUGUAGCGGUGAAAUGCGUAGAGAUCUGAAGGAAUACCAGUGGCGAAGGCGGCCCCCUGGACAAAGACUGACGCUCAGAUGCGAAAGCGUGGGGAGCAAACAGGAUUAGAUACCCUGGUAG
rnacentral:rRNA from 1 species